rnacentral:rRNA from 1 species
GAUGAACGCUGGCGGCGUGCCUAAUACAUGCAAGUCGAGCGAACGGACGAGAAGCUUGCUUCUCUGAUGUUAGCGGCGGACGGGUGAGUAACACGUGGAUAACCUACCUAUAAGACUGGGAUAACUUCGGGAAACCGGAGCUAAUACCGGAUAAUAUUUUGAACCGCAUGGUUCAAAAGUGAAAGACGGUCUUGCUGUCACUUAUAGAUGGAUCCGCGCUGCAUUAGCUAGUUGGUAAGGUAACGGCUUGCCAAGGCAACGAUGCAUAGCCGACCUGAGAGGGUGAUCGGCCACACUGGAACUGAGACACGGUCCAGACUCCUACGGGAGGCAGCAGUAGGGAAUCUUCCGCAAUGGGCGAAAGACUGACGGAGCAACGCCGCGUGAGUGAUGAAGGUCUUCGGAUCGUAAAACUCUGUUAUUAGGGAAGAACAGAUGUGUAAGUAACUGUGCACAUCUUGACGGUACCUAAUCAGAAAGCCACGGCUAACUACGUG